CACUCUUCACUUAAAAUCUAAUAUUACCCCCAAUUAAAAUUCACUCUCACUUCUCUCUCUCUCUCUAACUUCUCUCGCCUCUUUUUUUCUCAUAUCUCAGACGCCUUCGAACCCUAAUUCGAUGCACUACUUCGAACCCUAAUCAGCCAGUGAGAGCGUUGGGACUGAGUGGGUGAGAUUUUACUAAACUCUCGACCACCAUGGCCUCGUGCAUAGCAGCAGCUUCUACAAUCUCUGUUCGCCCCAACCCUAAAGUAGCCCUCAACAUUUCCUCUAAAUCUAGACAAACCCUAGCUUAGCUGCCUCCGCUAAUCCUAAUUUUUUUCAAUUCCGCCGCUCUUCGCAAAUCAUUUCAAACUCUCUCCGUCUCUUCUUGCUCUCCUCGCAGCUCAGGUGUCAAGGCUGUUUCGGCAGGUCUAUCUGGGGAAUACGAUGGCAUCAAAAUUAGCUCAAUUGAAGUCCAAGGCCUGCCAAGCUAAAAAGUUUGUGGCCACUCAUGGUACUUCCUACUACAAACAUUUAUUAGAGCAGAAUAAGCAGUUCAUCCAGGAACCAGCCACUGUGGAAAAAUGCAAUGAGUUGUCCAAAAAGCUGUUGUAUACUCGUCUUGCCAGGUGACCAUACUUGACUGCUGCAUGUAAAGUGGUGUCCAAAUCUUUAUCAGCUUGCCUGAGAAAAGCUUGAAAAGAAGUAAUUGAAUUAUCAUCAUCAGCAUUUGGAGGAGGCAAAUGGCGAGCUGCAUCAAUGAGGACCUCGGCCAAUUCAGUUUCUCCUUCAUAUAUAGCCAAGUGAAGUGCUGUCUGUUUAUACUUGUUAAGCUUUGCCAGAAGAUUUCUCUGUGCAAAUUCCCUCAAAAUGAAUCUCACACGUUCUGUAUUUCCCUUCUCUGAUUCCAGGUGAAGGAUAGUUUCUUCAUAAUAUUCGGAGAGUGUAUCAGCUUCCUAGUGUUUUCUCAGUUUCCCUGAACUCUAAUCUGAAAGCUCUAGAGCAUCAUGGGUAUACGUAUGCCUCAUAUUACUAAACUCAAACAAAUCCUUAAUUCACAGGUCAUUGUACUUAUUAAAUGCUGAUCUCACCUCAACAAUUCCAAAGGGGUGCUUGGCAGUUUAUAUUGGGGAGAGGCAAAGAAGCCGAUUUGUGGUACCCAUUUCAAUCCUGAAUGAGCCUGCCUUUCAAGGUUUGUUGAGUCAAGCCGAGGAAGAAUUUGGAUUCAAUCAUCCAGAAGGAGGUCUUACGAUUCCUUGCUCAGUGGACAUAUUCAUUGAUCUCACUUCGCGCCUGACAAUUUAUAAUAGGAUUUUCUAUAUACUUUUAGAUAGUAUACCAUCUCGGAUCUAAAAGCUGGAAACUUCAAAUGUCAUGUUAUUAGUUCUUGUGGUCAAUAGUUUUAAGUUAGGUGCUCAUGUGAUGGUGUUUUUAAUACAUAAUCCCAGCUGCUUCUUGUGCUGAAUUGAUGUACCUUGUACUAGAAAACUCCAGCUGAUUUAAAUUGUCAGAUUUAUGAAUCCUAAAUAAAAGGGUAAAUUUCCUCUAAGAAACAAACUAUCAGAUUAAAUGGUUGCAACUCUGUCAAGUUG